UAUUAAUGGAUAACUAAUUAGUUAUUAACUAUGAACUAGAAUAAUGUUAUGCUUUCGAAAUGUUAUAUAUAAUAUGUAGUAAUAUAACUUCAAUGUUCGAUAAUUCUAAAGGUAUAGCUAAAAGAGUUAUUUCAUUAAUUCGUUGUUAAAAAGUCACCUUAAUUAAUUAAAAAGUUAUUAACGAUUAAGAAAUAAUGGCCUUUAAGGAGACCUUUACGACGUUAUAAUGACCGUUGUGACCUUAAUAAACGCUAAACUAAUAUUUAGACUUAAAAGCUAAAUAACGAAACAUUCAUUAAUAAAAAUUAUUCUUGAAUAGAUUAAGGAAGAUAAAGGAUAUUACAAGCCUCCCCCGGCUAACAAGGUUAUUAAGCAGGAAUCCAGGUACCGAUGGUGAUAACGGGAUGGCGUAGCAGUGAGGACUUAAUUAAUAUCUAGAUUAUCUAGACUCUCAUGGUUUUAAUUUAAGUUUAUGUCAAAACUCUGAUUAGUAACUAAGUUUCUAUUAAUCAAGACUAAUGUUGGAUCUAUAUUAUGCUUCAUGUUAUAAAUGUUUAAGUUUAUGAUUUUA